rnacentral:rRNA from 1 species
UACGUAGGGUGCGAGCGUUAAUCGGAAUUACUGGGCGUAAAGCGUGCGCAGGCGGUUCGUUGUGUCGGCGGUGAAAGCCCCGGGCUUAACCUGGGAAUGGCCGUUGAAACUGGUCAGCUGGAGGACGGUAGAGGCGAGUGGAAUUCCCGGUGUAGUGGUGAAAUGCGUAGAGAUCGGGAGGAACACCUGUGGCGAAGGCGGGUCUCUGGACAGUUCCUGACGCUGAGGCACGAAGGUCAGGGGAGCAAACGGG